rnacentral:rRNA from 1 species
UACGAAGGGGGCUAGCGUUGUUCGGAUUUACUGGGCGUAAAGCGCACGUAGGCGGAUUGUUAAGUCGGGGGUGAAAUCCUGGAGCUCAACUCCAGAACUGCCUUCGAAACUGGCGAUCUUGAGUUCGGGAGAGGUGAGUGGAACUGCGAGUGUAGAGGUGAAAUUCGUAGAUAUUCGCAAGAACACCAGUGGCGAAGGCGGCUCACUGGCCCGAUACUGACGCUGAGGUGCGAAAGCGUGGGGAGCAAACAGG